CCGGAAUUUCCAACGCUGGUGACUGGGUUCCGGGCGCUGCGGGGGCGGCGGGAGAGGCACGCGAUCUCAUCAGCCGCCUCAGUAUCAUGUCAGUACCAGGUGUGAAGAGGUAGAGCACAGAAAACCAAGAAAAAGGGGAGGCCUGUUCCAACAACAAGAGUUCUAAUUUGUGGAUGCAGCCCCUCUGCAACAAGAGCUCUUUACCUGUGACCGGUUUACAUCCCUACUGCCCUGGCAAUCGGAUACUGUAAGAUCCCUGAGACACCCUUCCUUCCUUGUCCAUCAAUGUUUGAUCACCAGCAGGAGGUAGGAGGAAAAGAAAUACUGUGUUUUCCCUUGAGAGCUUAUAAUGUAGUAUCAGCUCCUGAGUUCCAGCAAAGACCACCAAAAGAACCUGUUGAUCAAACCAAGUUUAUUGCUCACAACAAGAGAGAGACAGAGAACGGAGACAC